UCGGGAAUUUUGGGCAAUGGGCGAAAGCCUGACCCAGCAACGCCGCGUGAAGGAUGAAGUAUUUCGGUAUGUAAACUUCGAAAGAAUAGGAAGAAUAAAUGACGGUACUAUUUAUAAGGUCCGGCUAACUACGUGCCAGCAGCCGCGGUAAUACGUAGGGACCAAGCGUUGUUCGGAUUUACUGGGCGUAAAGGGCGCGUAGGCGGCAUGACAAGUCACUUGUGAAAUCUCCGGGCUUAACUCGGAACGGCCAAGUGAUACUGUCACGCUAGAGUAUUGGAGGGGCAAUCGGAAUUCUUGGUGUAGCGGUGAAAUGCGUAGAUAUCAAGAGGAACACCUGAGGUGAAGACGGGUUGCUGGCCAAAUACUGACGCUGAGGCGCGAAAGCCAGGGGAGCAAACGGGAUUAGAUACCCCAGUAGUCCCUGAGCGGGCUGGCA
rnacentral:rRNA from 1 species